GACGAACGCUGGCGGCGUGCUUAACACAUGCAAGUCGAACGAUGAAGCCAGCUUGCUGGUGGAUUAGUGGCGAACGGGUGAGUAACACGUGGGUGAUCUGCCCCAAACUUUGGGAUAAGCCUGGGAAACUGGGUCUAAUACCGAAUAUGACCGAUACUCGCAUGGGUGUUGGUGGAAAGCUCCGGCGGUUUGGGAUGGGCCCGCGGCCUAUCAGCUUGUUGGUGGGGUAAUGGCCUACCAAGGCGACGACGGGUAGCCGGCCUGAGAGGGCGACCGGCCACACUGGGAGUGAGACACGGCCCAGACUGCUAUGGGAGGCAGGAGUGGGGAAUAUUGCACAAUGGGCGCAAGCCUGAUGCAGCGACGCCGCGUGCGGGAUGACGGCCUGCGGGUUGUAAACCUCUUUCACCAGGGACGAAGCGAAAGUGACGGUACCUGGAGAAGAAGCACCGGCCAACUACGUG
rnacentral:rRNA from 1 species